rnacentral:rRNA from 1 species
AUGAACGCUAGCGGCAGGCCUAACACAUGCAAGUCGAGGGGGAAGUUACUUUCGGGUGACUGAUACCGGCGUACGGGUGCGUAACGCGUAUCCAAUCUGCCUUUCACUGGGGGAUAGCCCGAAGUAAUUUGGAUUAAUACCCCAUAGUAUAUAGGGACGGCAUCGUUUUUAUAUUAAAGCUUAUGUGGUGAAAGAUGAGUAUGCGUUCUAUUAGCUAGUUGGAGAGGUAACGGCUCCCCAAGGCGAUGAUAGAUAGGGGUUCUGAGAGGGAUGUCCCCCACACUGGUACUGAGAUACGGACCAGACUCCUACGGGAGGCAGCAGUGAGGAAUAUUGGACAAUGGUCGGAAGACUGAACCAGCCAUGCCGCGAGCAGGAUGAAGGUCUUAUGGAUUGUAAACUGCUUUUGUAAGGGAAGAAUAAGGGCUACGCGUAGUUUGAUGACGGUACCUUACGAAUAAGCAUCGGCUAACUCCGU